AUUACCUUUGGUCAUAUUGGAAGGUAGUAAUGGAAUGAUACAGAAAAGAUUAGCAAAUCUCCUAUACAAGGAUGGCAUGAAAAUUUGUAAGGGUUCCUUAUAUCUU